CAGUAGCCACGGGAAUACGAAGGGGGCUAGCGUUGUUCGGAUUUACUGGGCGUAAAGGGCGCGUAGGCGGACUGAUAAGUCAGGGGUGAAAUCCCAAGGCUCAACCUUGGAACUGCCUUUGAUACUGGGUAUCUUGAGUAUGGAAGAGGUGAGUGGAAUUCCGAGUGUAGAGGUGAAAUUCGUAGAUAUUCGGAGGAACACCAGUGGCGAAGGCGGCUCACUGGUCCAUUACUGACGCUGAGGUGCGAAAGCGUGGGGAGCAAACAGGAUUAGAUACCCCUGUAGUCCCUGUCUCUUAUAU
rnacentral:rRNA from 1 species